rnacentral:rRNA from 1 species
CCUGGGAAUGGCGUUUUGAACUGGCAGUCUAGAGUGCGUCAGAGGGGGGUGGAAUUCCACGUGUAGCAGUGAAAUGCGUAGAGAUGUGGAGGAACACCGAUGGCGAAGGCAGCCCCCUGGGAUGACACUGACGCUCAUGUACGAAAGCGUGGGUAGCAAACAGGAUUAGAUACCCUGGUAGUCCACGCCCUAAACGAUGUCAACUGGUUGUUGGGGGAGUGAAAUCCCUUUAGUAACGAAGCUAACGCGUGAAGUUGACCGCCUGGGGAGUACGGUCGCAAGAUUAAAACUCAAAGGAAUUGACGUGGACCCGCACAAGCGGUGGAUGAUGUGGAUUAAUUCGAUGCAACGCGAAAAACCUUACCUACCCUUGACAUUUCCGGAAUCCUGCAGAGAUGCGGGAGUGCCCGAAAGGGAAUCGGAACACAGGUGCUGCAUGGCUGUCGUCAGCUCGUGUCGCGAGAUGUUGGGUUAAGUCCCGCAACGAGCGCAACCCUUAUCAUUAGUUGCUACGCAAGGGCACUCUAAUGAGACUGCCGGUGACAAACCGGAGGAAGGUGGGGAUGACGUCAAGUCCUCAUGGCCCUUAUGGGUAGGGCUUCACACGUCAUACAAUGGUCGGUACAGAGGGUUGCCAAGCCGCGAGGUGGAGCCAAUCCCAGAAAGCCGAUCGUAGUCCGGAUUGUUCUCUGCAACUCGAGAGCAUGAAGUCGGAAUCGCUAGUAAUCGCGGAUCAGCAUGUCGCGGUGAAUACGUUCCCGGGUCUUGUACACACCGUCCGUCCCCCCCAUGGGAACUGGAGAGAG